CUUCUAUAUAUGGAGAAUCUGGGCACUCGGCAAACUCUCAUCGUUUCCACGUUGAUGAUGAAACAAUGAAAUGGGUCUUUGCAAUUGAUGAUGAAACAAUGAAAUGAGAUCUUUGGGUUCACUUUUAAGACACAGGUACGAGUAUCAUUUGGGAAAUCAGCAAAUAGUGGAGAAACACAGCGUCGUUAGCCACGGACCGAAGCAAACAUCGGGAAAAAAAGAGAGGAAGAAACAAACAAAUCACUCAAAUAUGGAGAUGGGCACUGAUUAGAGGUGGAAAAAGAUGAUGUUUCAACUGAAUUUCUUUUCGACCAAAAAGCUAAACUCCAAUUUAGUUGAGAAAACUACUUAUUUUCCUAUCAUAUUUUUGCAAUUUUUUAGAGGCAAUAUGUUUCUG